rnacentral:rRNA from 1 species
AGGGUGUAAACGCUGCAGACUUGGUGUUGGAAGCCCUUUGGGGGCAUUCAGUGCCGGAGAGAAGUUGUUAAGUCUGCUACUUGGGAGUACGUCCGCAAGGAUGAAACUUAAAGGAAUUGGCGGGGGAGCACCGCAACGGGAGGAGCGUGCGGUUUAAUUGGAUUCAACACCGUAAACUCACCAGGGAAGACUGUUACAUGAAGGCCGAGAUGAAGACUCUGCUAGAUUUUCAGAGAGGUGGUGCAUGGCGUCAGUGACU